rfam:Kitasatospora setae KM-6054 DNA, complete genome.
CUUGAGCGAGCCGACCAGCAGCGGCUGGUCGGCGGGCCGGUCCUGGCCGUAGGUGGCGAGCAGGGCCUGCGCCUC